AGAGUUUGAUCCUGGCUCAGGAUGAACGCUAGCUACAGGCUUAACACAUGCAAGUCGAGGGGAAACGGACAUCGAAAGCUUGCUUUUGAUGGGCGUCGACCGGCGCACGGGUGAGUAACGCGUAUCCAACCUGCCCACCACUUGGGGAUAACCUUGCGAAAGUAAGACUAAUACCCAAUGAUAUCUCUAGAAGACAUCUGAAAGAGAUUAAAGAUUUAUCGGUGAUGGAUGGGGAUGCGUCUGAUUAGCUUGUUGGCGGGGUAACGGCCACCAAGGCGACGAUCGAGUAGGGGUUCUGAGAGGAAGGUCCCCCANAUUGGAACUGAGACACGGUCCAAACUCCUACGGGAGGCA
rnacentral:rRNA from 1 species